rnacentral:rRNA from 1 species
UUAAAUUUUAGUCCAUUUAAUUUUGUUUUCUAAAAAACUGUGAAGGUACCCUGAAAUAAAAUUUUUAUUGCUCAUAAAUUAGAGUCGUACCUUUUGUAUUAGUGUUUAUAGAUUUUAUAAAUUAUUUACCUGUCCCGAAGAAAAAAGAUUUUUUUACUGUUUUUAAUUAUGUGGCAUAAUUUAGUUAGCAGUAAAAGGAAGUUAAAAGUUAAGCGGGUUUUUAUAUAUCUGGUUUUUCCAUUUAAACAUAGUUUAAGUAAAUUUAGGGUUAGAUCAAUUACGAAAAGCUUCUUUAAGUUUAUUGAUUUCAGGGGGGAUGAGCUCUUUGAGUAAGAACUUAUAAAUUAGUAUAAUUCUUUUUAAUUUGUAGGCUUAGAAACAGCUUUCUUUUUAGUAAGUUACAUUUAAUUUAUGGUCUAUGUGAUUUACUUUAAUUUUAAGUCUAAAAAUAUGAAAAUCAUAAUUAUUUUUAUUUUAUAAUAAUUAUAAAAUUAGUAGAACGUUAAAAAUCAAUUUUAGGUUUAAUUUUUUUAGGUAUGAAUUUAGCAAGUAUUACUUCGACUGUUUAUCAAAAACAUUUCUUUACAGUUAUUUUUUAAAGUAAGGCCUGCCCACUGUAUUAUAAAGGGCCGCGGUAUUUUGACCGUGCAAAGGUAGCAUAAUCAUUAGUCCCUUAAUUAGGGAAUGGAAUGAAUGGCUAAACGUAGUACUGCUUUAUUCUUAAAAGUGUUUGAAUUUAAAUUUUAAGUGAAAAUGCUUAAAUUAGCCGAUAGACGAUAAGACCCUAUAGAUUUUUAUUUUAGACGAGCUUAAUUUAUUAGUGUUCUUUUUAUGAUGCGUUUAAAAAUUUUGUUGGGGCAACAAAAGAAUAAAAGUAACUUCUUUACCUGUUUUUUUUAUAAAAUUGAUAAUCUUUUAGUAGAAAAUUAAAAAAGUUACCUUAGGGAUAACAGCGUAAUUAAAAUUAAGAGCCCGUAUCGACAUUUUAGUUUGCGACCUCGAUGUUGAAUUAAGAUUUCUAAAUGGGGCAGCAUCUGUUUAAGAUAGUCUGUUCGACUAAAAAUUUCUUACAUGAUUUGAGUUCAAACCGGCGUAAGCCAGGUUGGUUUCUAUCUUUGGCGAUUUUUAUUUUUCUUAGUACGAAAGGACCAGUGAAAUUUUA